AUACGGAGGGUGCAAGCGUUACUCGGAAUCACUGGGCGUAAAGCGCGCGCAGGCGGGCUGAUAAGUUGGAUGUGAAAGCCUACGGCUCAACCGUAGAACUGCAUCCAAAACUGUCAGUCUAGAGUGUGGGAGAGGAAGAUGGAAUUAGUUGUGUAGGGGUAAAAUCCGUAGAGAUAACUAGGAAUACCAAAAGCGAAGGCAAUCUUCUGGAACACUACUGACGCUGAGGCGCGAAGGCGUGGGGAGCAAACAGGAUUAGAAACCACGGUAGUCC
rnacentral:rRNA from 1 species